ACGCUGCCGUAACCCCGCCCCCAGGGAACGCAAGUCUCGCGCAAGGUGGGAGGGCGGGGAAAGUGCUCACAGCGGCUGGCUGUUCCCCGGGCUUUCAAGUUUGUAGUACCCUGGGCGAGCUCCUGUCAGAAGCCAAAUUCCACCCGCCCUCCCAAAAAAGAAGCCAAAUUCCCAGCACCUGGAGUGAGCCGAUGAUCUUGGACAAAUGUAUACAGCUGGCCUGAGGUUACUACAGAGUAAACUCCUAAGGACACCCUUCCAAUGGGGACUCAUCUCUGUUGAGUCCAUAUAUGUGUUUCAAAAUGUCACACUGUGUGGACUGCAAGGGAAGAGCAAGAAGUCACCAAGAAGCAAGCCCUCCCUGUGAAUCGGUGCCAUGCAUGGACCACUGGCAGCAGAGCCAGAUGCCAGUUCCUGUGUGUAGGCUGGGAAACAAGAAGAGCCCCUCCCCCACCAAUAAGCAACCAGUUGGUCCCAAGAAACACAUGCUGUAAUGAUAGCCUAUUAAGGUAAAAUAUAAUUUAAUGCUUGCAGUGUUCAGUGUUUCACUGACUUUGUAGGCUUUAACCCAGUGUUCUGAUCAUCUAUUCAGAGGAUAACAAUAUGCAAUAUAGCAUCUAUGGGGGAUCUCUUUCUGAAGGUGGUAGCCAUUGCUAAUGCCAUAUUAUCUCAUUUUGAAGUCCUGUUUCAUUUUCAUUGUUUUGUUGGACUGGGAUUUGUUCUGUCAUUUUGUUGGAUUUUAUUAUACCUGAUGACAUGGGCAGUUAUUUCAGAGAUAGCAAGAUACAUUAUGGUAGCCAUUUUGGAUUUACUAUUAUCUUGUUUGAAGUCCUUUAUCACAUUCACUGUUUUGAUUUUAUGGACUCUAUUCUGUUCUGUUUUGUUUGAUUUUUACUAUGUCUGCAGGUAUUUUGAAGACAACAAGGAGGCAUUAUUGUAACCACUGUUGGUUUUGUAUGUUUUGAAGUCCUGUGUCACUUAUACUGAAAGAUUGCCAUUUGCAUUGAGUCUGGGACUGUUUCACUCUGGAGAAAUACCUCUCACAAGUGACGGCUUCUCUUUUCAAGAAUGAAGGGAACGAAAACACGAAGCACUUGCUGAAAACUAAAAAUUGCCCUGUGUUACUUAACCAAAACUAAUCUGCAAGGCUCACCACUCAUUUAGUCACAUUUUUCCUUUCAGAGUCUGCAGGACACAACAGUAGUUUCUCGAGUUUAUUUGCUUCCCCUUCCGUGAUCUUGGAGCUCUCGCUUGUCCUGAACAGAAUCCAUGGAAGCUGGAUGUCUGCAGCGAAACUCUGAAGUGGCAGGUGCCGGAAUAGCCAUUAAGUGUGUGUUGGAAUCAAUCUGCUUUGAAACCUGACUCUGCUGUUUCUCAGCUAUGUGACCUUGACCAAGGGCCUUAUUUCUUCAUCUGUAAAACAGCAUAAUUAGAGUACCAGUUUCAUGAUUGUUGUGAGAAUGACAGGAGGUAAUGUAUGUAAACAGUUCCUCACAGUGCUUGGCUGUCAUAGUUUGGGUUUCUCCUGAAGCCAACCCUGAAACAAAGAUUCAAGUUCAAUCAUACUAUAUUUGAGGGACAAUCCCAGUAAGCAUCAGUAGGGGCUACAGAAGUGAAAUAGAGGAAGAGAGAAGUUACAGAGGGGCUUGCCCCACCCGAGGGGCAGGAGGAACUGGGGUAUUUGCCUACUUGUCUGAAGACCGCUAGGGACUUAGCUGUCCUGCCGUCUUGCCCCAUGGACAGGUGGGGUGGGCCUUGGUGUUCAGAGGAGGCUGUGGGCACUUGCUGGCUUUGCAAGUAGGUAGGGACUGGGGUGCAAGGAAGGGGUGAGGGCUAGGGGGCUCUGGCAGCAUGGCUCUUUCAAUACCGAUUUACCCCUUAUGUCUUUUUUCUUUUUUUGUACCGGGAAUCAAACUCACAACUUUGUGUUUGCCAAACAGGCACUUACACUGCUGAGCUAAAGCCCUGGCCCCCUUAUGUCUUGUUAUAAGGUGACUUUUUAGGUUUUUAAAAAAUCAAAUAUGCAUUAAAAAUAUCAAAUAUGCCUGGCACAGCACACAAAAGACAUUUGCAAUGAUCAUUUAUCUUUUUUUUUUUUGUACUGGGGAUCGAAGUCACAAUCUUGAGCUUGCCAAACAGGUGCUUAUGCCACUGAGCUAAAUCCCUGGUCCAACAUUUAUCAUUUUUGUGUUACAUCCUUUCCUUUUUCUUACAGCCAGAAACUCAUCUUAUGUGUGAUAUGGUCUAGAUCUCCUUUCCUCCCAAGUCCCAUUGCAUCUUCCACCCCUUCAUUAUCUCAGGAAGGAGAAAUGUGAUCCUAGCUUUGCAGAAUAUUUGCACCCAGCCAAUGAGGAUGGGGCGCAAUCUGAAGGGAGCCCAGCACCCUAGCAGCAUGUCAGCAUCCUUCUUCGGACUUGGCUGCUGGAGCUAUUGAUUUCUUCUGGUUACGUUUGCUAAGCUAGAAGAUAGGCAUUCUGGGUUACUGACAGCUAUGCUGUUCUCUAUUGAAAACAGGUAGACAGACAGAAAGACCUGAAGGCAUUUUUCCAACAACUAUUUUUCCUUGUACUAUAAAAUAGCAUGCUUCAUUUUUAGUUGGGCCAUUGAGAAUCAAAACUUCAUUUUCUAAGGUAAAGAUGAAGGCUUAUACUUUUAUAUUCCUACCACCUGGUGGGAUGACUGCCUUAGGGAACAUGACUAACAAAUGUUUGUUGGUUGGGCUAGCAUUUCCAUUCUAGGCAUGCGUGUUCUUUACUUCCUUUAAAUUCCCUUCUCCAAAGCUGUAGCAGCCUGCUAGUGUGUAACGACUGUUUUUUCUCCAUCAGUUUUCUUCUGCUCAGUGUCAGUUAUUACCAGUAAUCAGAGGAGGAGGUUAAAGGAAGAUGACCAGAAAGGCUGGGCUAUUGCAUACUGUAGGUGCCAAUGCAGGAUAAAUGCUGCCUGCCACCUUUCGGGGCCUUAUUUCAUUUCUUUAUGUAAACCAAUCAAUGGGGGUAGUGGUGUGGGCUAGAAGAGUUCCUUUAAGGAUUUGAUUUUUGGAGGCUCCACAAUUCAUCAAAUAUGAUUUCAGUCUUACCUGGACAUGGACAUCAACUGACAAGUGGAGAAGAUGAGGAGGAGGAUGAUCAACAUAGAUUUAUGUGGGUCAGUCUUGGAAAUGACUUAUACCACUGCUGUCUACUUUCUGUCAAAUUUAGGGAAGCAUGGAAAAUAUGGUAUAGCUAUAUUCUAAGACAAAGAGGUUAUGAAUUUGGUUAUACACACACUGCUGCCCAAACAUGAAGUCAUUUGUAGUUACAGCAUUCAAGAAAUCCUUAUAGUAGUGGCCAUUAAAACAGCAGAUCCUGGGGCUGGGGAUUUAGCUCAGCGGCAUAAGCACCUGCUUGCCCGGUACCGAUAAAAAAGAAAAAGACAAAAACCAAAAAAACCUCCCAAAAAACAGCAGAUUCUAGCUCCUCUUGGUGGGAAUCUUUGUUAACAGUACUCAUAAUUGUCCUGUUGAUUCUAUUGUUUGGCCCAUGCAUACUUAAUUGUUUCUUUGUCUCCUUCAGACUUAAAGCUGUAUACCUACCCAUGAUAAAAAUGCCUGAUGUCUAUCAAGGGCCUUUAGAUAGAUCCUCUAUAGAGUAUCUCUGACUGCCAAUCAACUACGACCUCUUUCAGUCUGAAGAAGCCAGAUGGGUCAUCGCCCAUUUCUCCCUCAUGGCAGUUUGGGAUACUUAUUCAGAGAGGGGGAUGUUAAAGGCAGCUGGAGUUAAUUAAAUAUUAUAGGCAGUCAGAGAGGGCUAGGCCCUCGAAGGAGCCAGUGCAGAAAAUCAGAUGUCUUGUGAUUUUGAAGGAGACAGACCAACAUUUUAAAGAUUGAUAUUCUAAGUAGGUUUGGAUCAUCUUGGGGAAGCCAGGAGUCACCAUCCCAACCCCUUACAGAAAGAGUCACUGCUCCUUAAGCGUACCAGUUGCUACAUGACUGGCUUCUCCAUUUGUCUCUGAUUUAACCAGUCUUACCUGAACAAUUGAUCUUAUUGGUUAACCAUACCUCUGUCCCACCUCAUGCCCACCUUGUGAGUUCCUGUUUUCCCCCACUUUGGACCCACCUCACCUCAUGGUUUUGCUCUAUAAAAAUCCCUAGAAAGGCAGGGUCCUCAGCAACCCACUUGGGCCCUCUUCUAUCUAUUUCUCAGACAGAACCUUUCUUUCUCUCAAUAAAUAUAUCCUGCCUUAAAAAAGACCCAAAUAGUUGGGGAUUUAGCACCAGUGGCAUUAGUGCCAGCCUGCAAAGGGCAAGGUCAGGAGUUUGAUCCCCGGUACCCAAACAACAAAACAAAACAAAACAAAAGAUCAGCUUAACAUGUUGGCCUGUACCUGUAAUCUCAGUACUCUGGGGGGCUGAAGCAAAAGGAUCUCAAGUUCAAGUUACUUUGGGUGACUUAAGGAGACCCUGUCUCAAAAUAAAAAAAAUAAAAAUGACGGUAUGUAACUUCA